UUCUACUAGUAGGCAAGCUUCAAGUGGGAGCUAUUCACACACCAUCUUUAGUGGGUAGCUGCCUAGAGCCCCAGACUAAUAAAGAUUCAUUUUUUUUUGUUUACCUAUUCCUUAGUUUUCUUUUAGGAUAUUAUGUUUACGUAGUUUAUGAAUUUUACAGGGAUUUGAUAAUUUUAUGUACAUAGAAGCCUAAGCAUAAUAGCAUCAGAGUUCUGCCCAAGCUGUUAUAUAAUUAGUAUAAUUGAGGCAUGCCUUAACUUUUAUAUAUUAUACUAGUAUAAUGGUGGUGUUUGGAGAUGUAAGUAAACACUGUUGAAAAUUUCCUCUUAACUGUAUUUUUUUAAUCAUAUUGAAUUUUUUUAAAGCAAGUGAACCAUGGAGACGUGUGUACCCAGCUCCACAGGCUGAGAAGAAAGAUCUGCAGCAGUAUUCAAGUUUACAGUUAGAACAUGAACUUUUUCAACUAUUCCUUGAUUCUAGGACACCGAGGUAAUCACUUUUGAUCACAGAUGGGAGUAUCUUUAUGACGCAUGCUUGUUUAUUAGUAGUUCUAUAAAGUAGUCCAUGCACAGUCUAUGAAUUUUUUAUUUCAAUUAGAAUGACUCAUAAGCUAUCUUUUUGGAGCAUGAGGGAAUGCUUAUUCAUUUUCCAAAUUUCAGACCAACUCCAAUUCUCCACCAGAACACCAAUUUGGUUCCAUUGUCACACCAUUUAGCUCCAGUUGGGACCAAGUUUGUGCUGGCUUGAAUGCAAUAACAUUUUUGAUUCGUAGGUGUGAAUGGGAUGAUUUGAUUAAUAUUCUUUUUUGUUGGUAUUGUGAGGGUUGUUGAAGUAGAAAAUUUUUGAAGCUCAAAUUGCGUUAAAGUGGUGCAAAAUCCACGCCAUACUGGUCUUAUACAUUGGAACUAUCCUGCAAUGGAAACAUUUUUUGUCUCCCUCUUAAAUGAAACUAUCCUGCUCAUUAACCAACUAAUAAAUAGGUAGGAAGCUAAACACAGCUAACGCAUCAAAAUCCUUGUGUUCUCUUUGAUAAUACUGUUGUGUUUGCAGAAAUUCUAAUAGUACUAUCUAAUUUUUCUGACAUUUUCCAUGUGCCAGCCACACCGUGGGCAUUGCAGCAGAUAGCUGGCUCACAUACAUGGAUCGGCUGCUCUCUCUAGGUGUUGAUCGUACAACCGAGAAAAAUUCUCUGAAAGCAAAAAUGCUUAAGUUGAUUGACAUCUACUAUCACGCAAUAGAUGCACCAAAAGUGGCAAAAAGAUAGAUUUUGGUUUUAUUUAGAUUGUUUUGAGUGAGCUGCUUGUUUCAUGUAGUUGCCCUUCUAGCAUUCCUAAACUAUGUUAUUUGUUCUCAACCAGAGUUGUUUGAUUGUACUUUGCACACACAGACACACUCGUAUGCUAUUCAAAAUACACUAUUCUUUUUCAGUAUAUCCAUUUCCCAGAAAAUCUGUAGGCUCCCCAAGUCGCUUGAAUUUACAUCUUUUGCACUUGGAAACUAUUAAAACUAUGUGUUGUGGUUUUUGCAUAAUUUCGGAAGCUCCAGCCAUGUACAUGGCGUAAGUAUAUUAAGUCCAGCUUAAUAUUGUCUUAAUUUAUGCCAGCUAGUUAUCUCAAGGAUGGGAUGUUUGGUAAAUUUAUGAUUGUGGUGACGCUGUCAAUUGACAAAGAGCUGAUUCAAUCUCUAUGUAAAGUUAUGCAGAGUUUAAAUAUGACAUGGUUUGCCUCAGCUGAUAUGAUUGACAACUUUUGUGAGUCACCUGUAGAUAGAUCAACAUAGUCACUCUCGUACUGAUAGAACAAAUAGAUUUCAAUUAUUGUAAUAAUUAUUCAACAUCUUUGUAUACCACAGAAGGUAAAUUAAGGAUUGUUUGAUUUAUCUAUUACUAUUUUGUUCAAGUAGCUAUCAUAAGGAACAUAUUCUACUGUUGUUUCACAUUAAAUAUAAAGUAGAUUGUAUUGGUAGGAAAUCAUGGAGAGGAUUAGUGUGUAGACCGGCUUCAUGUUCCGUAGGGGAUAUUGUGGAGAUCCUAAAUCCUAAUGUCAGUUUACUUUGUUGUUCUUUUUUCACCCUCAAAUCUCUCUCAGUUACAUAUAAUUUGUACUACCAUGCACCAAUAACAAAUUAUUCUCUUUUGGGAAACAGAUCAGUCUACCUGAUUAUUUGAAAGCAGAGUUGUUUCCGCAUCACAUGGGAAGAGUUGUCGAGAAUAGCUAUCACUCCUCCUCCAUAUUGGGUCUAAUAUAUGACAGAGUACAGGAAUUUUAGAAUGGUGAUGUUCCUGGAAAAGCAAGGUGGUUCUUACCAACCAAGACUCAAUUUUAUGUUAUCACGAAGUAUGCAUUGGUUUCAAACGUGAAUGGUGAUGCUAAGUAAGAAAUCUGGAAAAUGCCACUCUUUGACAUUUCAAUCCCUGAGGAUUAUCGUAUCAAGUGGAGAGAUAGGUACGAGUGCUAUUGCGAGGAGAUGAAAAACGCCCUACAGUGCGGUGAUGAAGCUAAGAGCGAUGCUGCUGAUGAUGUGAUCAAAAAGUACAAGCAGUUGUUGUACGAUGCUCCUGAUAUGGAGGAAAGUAGAAAGGAUACUGAAGUGUUGUAUGAGGAAUCGCUUGCUGUAUAUCAUGUAACAUACGACAUGGCGGCCAGCUCUGGUAAGGUGGAAAAAUGUGGGUUUGCUUGGAGAGUGGCGGGAUCUGCGCUGUGCAGUCUCUAUGCCUGGAAAUCAGUUGCUCCCAAGGAGAAGCCGUUGAUGCUGUUACCGCCGGUCCUGCGCGACUUGUUGAACUAAGCACUCAGUCGGAUCCGUUCCUAUGUUGUAACGUGGUAUUGCAUAUUAAUUGUCUAGGCAUUACAACUUAUCUUGUAAAGUAUGAAAUAAAUGAGAACAAGGCUUCGGCUUUGUAGGGACAUGUUUCGUGUAGAUAUUAUGUUUAAACCCAUUCCAA